rnacentral:lncRNA from 1 species
CUUACAAUCUUGAUCUUCUAUUCUUCGUCAUUUUUAAUUUUAAUUACUUCUUUCAUUUUUACCAAUUGUGAUAUGACAACAUAAGUAAUUUUGAUCUUCUAUUCUUCGUCAUCUUUAAUUUUAAUUACUUCUUUUCUUUUUACCAAUUGUGUAUGGCUUCUUUUGGAUAUGGCAACAUAGGCUACAUUGUGUUUUGCUUCUUUUUUCGGAUCUAUAUAGGAUCGUGAAAUUCUUU